rnacentral:rRNA from 1 species
CCUACGGGGUGCAGCAGUGAGGAAUAUUGGUCAAUGGAGGAGACCCUGAACCAGCCGCGUAGCGUGAAGGAUGACUGCCCUACGGGUUGUAAACUCCUUUCAUAAAGGAAUAAAGUGAGGCACGUGUGCCUUUUUGUACGUACUUUAUGAAUAAGGCUCGGCCAACUCCGUGCCAGCAGCCGCGGUAAUAAGGAGGAUCCGAGCGUUAUCCGGAUUUAUUGGGUUUAAAGGGAGCGUAGAUGGGUUGUUAAGUCAGUUGUGAAAGUUUGCGGCUCAACCGUAAAACUGCAAUUGAUACUGGCAGCCUUGAGUGCAGGUGGGGUAGGCGGAAUUCGUGGUGUAGCGGUGAAAUGCGUAGAUAUCACGAAGAACUCCGGUUGCGAAGGCAGGUUACUAGACUGCCACUGACAUUGAUGCUCGAAAGUGUGGGUAGCAAACAGGAUUAGAUACCCGGGUAGUC